GGCGGGUUGCCCGAGUGGCCAAUGGGAGCAGACUGUAAAUCUGCCGGCGAAUGCCUUCGUAGGUUCGAAUCCUACACCCGCCACCA
rnacentral:tRNA from 5 species